rnacentral:rRNA from 1 species
GACGAACGCUGGCGGCGUGCUUAACACAUGCAAGUCGAACGAGUGGCGGACGGGUGAGUAAUGCUUGGGAAUCUAGCUUAUGGAGGGGGAUAACUACGGGAAACUGUAGCUAAUACCGCGUACCAUAGGAUGAGCCCAAGUGGGAUUAGGUAGUUGGUGAGGUAAAGGCUCACCAAGCCGACGAUCUCUAGCUGGUCUGAGAGGAUGACCAGCCGCCCUGGGACUACGCCACGGCCCAGACUCCUACGGGAGGCAGCAGUGGGGAAUAUUGCGCAAUGGGGGCAACCUGACGCAGCCAUGCCGCGUGAAUGAAGAAGGCCUUCGGGUUGUAAAGUUCUUUCGGUAGCGAGGCGUUAACUACAGAAGAAGCACCGGCUAACUCCGUGCCAGCAGCCGCGGUAAUAC